UAGUCUCGCACAGAUGCAUAUCAAUAAGCGGAGGAAAAGAAACUAACAAGGAUUCCCCUAGUAACGGCGAGUGAAGCGGGAAGAGCUCAAAUUUGAAAUCUUAAAGGGUUUCCCUUUACGAAUUGUAGUUUAAAGAAGUGUUUCCUGUUGAGGUUUUGGUAAAAGUUCUUUGGAAUAGGACAUCAUAGAGGGUGAGAAUCCCGUAUUUGACCUUUACUUUCAACUUUGUGAUACACUUUCAAAGAGUCGGAUUGUUUGGGAAUGCAGUCCAAAAUGGGUGGUAAAUUUCAUCUAAAGCUAAAUAUUGGCGAGAGACCGAUAGCGAACAAGUACCGUGAGGGAAAGAUGAAAAGAACUUUGAAAAGAGAGUUAAACAGUACGUGAAAUUGUCAAAAGGGAAGCGUUUGACACCAGUGUUGUUUUUCUGAAAAUCAAUUAAAGAACUGUUUAUGCUAAGCUGUUUAGACUUUAUCAGCUAACUGUUUAGUUUUGAGCUUUUCUUUAAUGCACUUUUCAGUUAACAAGUCAACAUCAAUUUCUUUUGCUGUAAAACAGCUUGAGGAAGGUGGCUUGAGAUUCGUCUUAAGUGUUUAUAGCCUCUUGCCUAUGCAGUCGGAGAGAUUGAGGUCUGCAGCGUAGAUCCUUCGGGGCUAAAUGCAUUUGUGCUAAGUUAUAGCAUUUUAUAGACAACUUGUUGACUAUGAUUUGUCUUGUAGCUUACUCGCUUAUGUUAUUUUACCUACGCUUAGGAUGUUGACAGCAGUAUAGACUGU
rnacentral:rRNA from 1 species